CUCUCUUGUCUCUGUCUCUCUCUUUCAAAGUUGUCUUCGAAAUAUGGUGGUGAUAUUUGAGAGGCCGCAUUUAGAGAAGAGAGAGAGAAAGG
rnacentral:ribozyme from 13 species